rnacentral:lncRNA from 12 species
CCACUGCUAGCAUCUGCUCCUUUUACACAUCCCUUCCUGUUCCUUGAACAGCUCCUCUCUCCUGCUGCUUCAUCACAGUCCCUCAGAAGGUAUUCUCUUUAGAAAGAACUAGUAAAUUUACCUGUCACAGCAGAUGGAAGCAUCACCACCUGAGGACAAAUACAAUUGUGUCCCUUUCCUUUCCUGGUCAUGGAUAACAGAGUUCUAUCCAGUUCCACAAAAAACGGAAGGGACCGUAAAAGUGCUUAGAAAACUUUGCCUCAGAAUGAAAGGAAUAAAGGUGAGUGAUGCAUGAGUAAACGUACAAACUGAGAAUCAGAUUUUUCAAUAAAACAUUCAUAUUAUGGGCCUGUCAUGCUGCAGGACUGGGACUACUAGUCCAUCUUGUGGAAUACAGGAAGACUGACUCUGGAUUAACUAAAUAUCCUGCAAAAAGCCAGAAGUGCUGCCACCAUCAAAGCGAUUACAACAUCACAACUUUUCCUUACAAUUUGGAGGACUGUGGAGGACAGCAAAUUUUGAACAGGUGAUUAUCCAGCUUGAAGGGGAUGAAUGUCAAAAUGUUGAUUUUCAUAUGAAGAUGCAGAUAUUAAA